rnacentral:rRNA from 1 species
UACGUAGGGGUCCGAGCGUUGUCCGGAAUUAUUGGGCGUAAAGGGCUCGUAGGCGGUUCGUCACGUCGGGAGUGAAAACUCGGGGCUUAACCCCGAGCCUGCUUCCGAUACGGGCAGACUAGAGGUAGGCAGGGGAGAGCGGAACUCCUGGUGUAGCGGUGGAAUGCGCAGAUAUCAGGAAGAACACCGGUGGCGAAGGCGGCUCUCUGGGCCUUACCCUGACGCUGAGGAGCGAAAGCGUGGGUAGCGAACAGG